rnacentral:tRNA from 1 species
GGUGGGGUAGCUCAGUUGGUUAGAGCAUGGGAUUCAUAAACCCAAGGUCGGAGGUUCGAUUCCUCUCUCCACCA